rnacentral:rRNA from 1 species
CUGCCCGGUAGCUAAAUGCGGAAGAGAUAAGUGCUGAAAGCAUCUAAGCACGAAACUUGCCCCGAGAUGAGUUCUCCCUGAGACUUUAGGUCUCCUGAAGGAACGUUGAAGACGACGACGUUGAUAGGCCGGGUGUGUAAGCGCAGCGAUGCGUUGAGCUAACCGGUACUAAUGAACCGUGAGGCUUAACCUUACAACGCCGAAG